GACGAACCGAGCGAACGUUGUUCGGAAUCACUGGGCUUAAAGGGCGCGUAGGCGGGCUGCCGCGUCCGGGGUGAAAUCCCACGGCUCAACCGUGGAACGGCCCCGGGUACAGGCGGCCUCGAGGGGGGUAGGGGCGUGCGGAACUGUGGGUGGAGCGGUGAAAUGCGUUGAGAUCCACAGGAACUCCGGUGGCGAAGGCGGCACGCUGGACCCCCACUGACGCUGAGGCGCGAAAGCCAGGGGAGCGAACGGG
rnacentral:rRNA from 1 species